GGAGCACGCCGCGUGAGUGAUGAAGGUUUUCGGAUCGUAAAGCUCUGUUGUUAGGGAAGAACAAGUGCAAGAGUAACUGCUUGCACCUUGACGGUACCUAACCAGAAAGCCACGGCUAACUACGUGCCAGCAGCCGCGGUAAUACGUAGGUGGCAAGCGUUGUCCGGAAUUAUUGGGCGUAAAGGGCUCGCAGGCGGUUUCUUAAGUCUGAUGUGAAAGCCCCCGGCUCAACCGGGGAGGGUCAUUGGAAACUGGGAAACUUGAGUGCAGAAGAGGAGAGUGGAAUUCCACGUGUAGCGGUGAAAUGCGUAGAGAUGUGGAGGAACACCAGUGGCGAAGGCGACUCUCUGGUCUGUAACUGACGCUGAGGAGCGAAAGCGUGGGGAGCGAACAGGAUUAGAUACCCUGGUAGUCCACGCCGUAAACGAUGAGUGCUAAGUGUUAGGGGGUUUCCGCCCCUUAGUGCUGCAGCUAACGCAUUAAGCACUCCGCCUGGGGAGUACGGUCGCAAGACUGAAACUCAAAGGAAUUGACGGGGGCCCGCACAAGCGGUGGAGCAUGUGGUUUAAUUCGAAGCAACGCGAAGAACCUUACCAGGUCUUGACAUCCUCUGACAACCCUAGAGAUAGGGCUUUCCCUU
rnacentral:rRNA from 1 species